rnacentral:rRNA from 1 species
UACGUAGGGGGCAAGCGUUGUCCGGAAUCAUUGGGCGUAAAGCGCGUGUAGGCGGCCCGGUAAGUCCGCUGUGAAAGUCCAGGGCUCAACCCUGGAAUGCCGGUGGAUACUGUCGGGCUCGAGUCCGGAAGAGGCGAGUGGAAUUCCUGGUGUAGCGGUGAAAUGCGCAGAGUAUCAGGAGGAACACCAAUGGCGAAGGCAGCUCGCUGGGACGGUACUGACGCUGAGGAGCGAAAGCGUGG